rnacentral:rRNA from 1 species
UACGGAGGAGGCAAGCGUUAUCCGGAAUUAUUGGGCGUAAAGCGUCUGUAGGUGGUUUAAUAAGCCAACUGUUAAAUCUUGAGGCUCAACCUCAAAAUCGCAGUCGAAACUAUUAGGCUAGAGUAUAGUAGGGGUAAAGGGAAUUUCCAGUGGAGCGGUGAAAUGCGUAGAGAUUGGAAAGAACACCGAUGGCGAAGGCACUUUACUGGGCUAUUACUAACACUCAGAGACGAAAGCUAGGGUAGCAAAUGGG